UGGGGAAUUUUGCACAAUGGGCGCAAGCCUGAUGCAGCCAUGCCGCGUGUAUGAAGAAGGCCUUCGGGUUGUAAAGUACUUUCAGUCGGGAGGAAGGUGUCAAGGUUAAUAACCUUGGCAAUUGACGUUACCGACAGAAGAAGCACCGGCUAACUCCGUGCCAGCAGCCGCGGUAAUACGGAGGGUGCAAGCGUUAAUCGGAAUUACUGGGCGUAAAGCGCACGCAGGCGGUUGAUUGAGUCAGAUGUGAAAUCCCCGGGCUUAACCCGGGAAUUGCAUCUGAUACUGGUCAGCUAGAGUCUUGUAGAGGGGGGUAGAAUUCCAUGUGUAGCGGUGAAAUGCGUAGAGAUGUGGAGGAAUACCGGUGGCGAAGGCGGCCCCCUGGACGAAGACUGACGCUCAGGUGCGAAAGCGUGGGGAGCAAACAGG
rnacentral:rRNA from 1 species